ensembl:lincRNA
UUCUUGAAAUUUGGGUCAUUGUCUGUUUGUUUGUUUUUAAAUAGAGAUGGUGUCCCAAUGUGUUGCCAUGGCUGACCUUGAACUCCUGAACUCCAGUGAUCUUCCCGCCUUGGCCUCUCAAAGUGGUGGGAUUUGAAGCAUGAGCCACCAUGCCCAGCCUACUUCUUGAAAUUUGGUCUCCAACCAUGACAAAAAACUGGCCAUUGCCUAAUCAGUGUUUUCUAGUAUCUUGUCAAAACUCGAAGGCCAGUAAGCAAGUUUUUCAGAAUUUGUCUCCUGCUGACAUUUUGUGUCAGUUUUUUCCUGGAACACAGUGUACCCUUUGGAUGUUCCAAGGGAGGAGAUCAAGGCACCGUUAAGGUUGAACUGUGUCCCCCAAAAGAGAUGUUGAAAUUCUAUACCAAGUAUCUCAUAAUGUGACCUGAUUUAGAAACAGGGUGCUUGCAGGUACAAUCAAGUCAAGAUGAGGCAAUACUGGAUUAAGAUGAGCCCUAAUCCAGAGACUGUUGUCAUAAGGAGAGAAAAUUUGGACACAGAGACACAGACACAUGGGAAGAACACUAUGUAGUAAAGGAGGCAGAGACUGGAGUCAGGCGUCCAUAAAACAAAAAAAUGCCAAGGAUUGCCAACAACUACCAGAAACUAGGAAGAAUCAAGGAAGGAUUUUCCUGCUCUCCCAGCUCUCCAUCAAAUGAGGGUACAGUGAGACAACUGCUGUCUGCAAACCAGGAAGAGUGCCCUCCCCAGACACCAAAUCUGCUGACACCUUCAUCCUGGACCUCUCAGCCUCCAAAACUGUGGGAAAUAAAUGUUGUUUAAAUCAAAAAGAAAAAACAUAAGUUUCUUCCCCUAGAACUUUCAGAGAGAGCAUGACACCUCAAUUUUGGACUUCUAACCUCCAGAACUGUGAAAGAACAAAUGUCUGAUGUUUAAAGACACCCAGGACCAGGCCUGGUGGCUCAUGCCUGAAAUCUGAGCACUUUUGAGGCUAAGAUGGGGGAAAUUGCUUGAGGCUUGGAGUUUAAGACCAGCCUGGGCAACAUAGAGAGACCCUGUCUCCAUUUAAAAAAAAAAUUUAAAAAUUAGAGGCCAAGGUGGGUGGAUCACUUGAGGUCAGGAGUUCAAGACCAGCUGGCCAACAUGGCAAAACCCCAUCUCUACCAAAAAAAUACAAAAAUUAGUUGGGUGAAGUGAUACGCACCUGUAGUCUCAGCUACUCAGAUAGCUGAGGCAGGAGAAUCAGUUGAACCCAGGAGGUGGAGGUUUCAGUAAGCGAAGAUCCCACCAGCCUGGGUGAAAGAGCUAGACUGUCUAAAAAGAAAAAAGAAAGGAAACACUGGGCUGGGCAAGGUGGUUGGAUCCCCUGAGGUCAGGAGUUUGAGACCAGACUGUCUAAAAAGAAAAAAUAAAAAAUAAUAAUAAUUUAAAAAUUAGCUUGGCAUGGUGGUAUGUGCCUGUAGUCCCAGCUUCUCAGGAGGCUGAGGUGGGUAGAUUGCUUGAGCCCAGGAGGUGGAGGCUGCAGUGAGCUGUGAUUAUGCCAGUGCACUUAAGUCUGGGUGACACAGUGAGACUCUUUCUCAGAAAAACAAAAAACAGAAAGCAUAAAGACACUUAGAAGGAAGGAGAGAAGCAGAGACACCCAGUUUGUGAUAAUUUGCUACAGAGUCUAGGAAUCUAAUACAGACACUUAGAAUUUAUGCUCUUGCCCUAUGGAGAUGUUUUAUAGUCAGAUAUGAAGUCAAUGAGCUUGAGAUCUGAAGAACUUCCUCUUUACCUUGCACCUCCUUGGCGGAGUUCUCACAGAACUGGCCUUCUGGGCCGCCUGCAUCCAGCCUGCCCCCCCACAGAUGCUGUCUGGCUCCUGUUGAGGGUCUCUAAUGUCUCAGAUGCCCAGCUUCACAAACCCUCCUAUACAGGCUGCUCGUAGCAUGUGUUUUUCUUUGCCUAUGGAAUGGGCUAUAGUAUUUCAAAUAUUAAUGUGCAUUUUCCUUACUUUCUAGAUGAUCACAUUUGUUGUCGUUGUUGUUGUUGUUGUUGUUGUUGUUUCUUCCAGAAGAGAUUUUCCCACAACCUAAAAUUAGUUCUGAAUCUACCCUUGCUUUGAGAAAACAAGGGUGGAGGGUGGGGACAUCACUGUGGAAUGUCAGAAAUGAAAGUCAGUACAUUUUGGUUUCUAAGUUCAAAAGCUGUUUAUGUCUCAUAAAGCAAAAAAUACCACAUAGGUAGAGACUGAGAAUGUCACAACCUUUCCUCACUCCCACAACCACCCUGGUAACAUUUUUACCUCCUUCCCAGGAAUAUGAACUCCAAAAGGAAGAAAGAUCAAGUAGAAAGAAAUGUAACUGAGCCAUUUUAAACAUGAAUUGAGAUAUAAUUGAAUUUGAUGAAGUUUGUCUUAGAUUAACAAGAUUGUUUUCUGCCUCAGGCAGGAUGGGGACUCAAGGUCAUAAAUUAAGAUGGACUUGUAGAAAAGUUCUACUUGGCUGGGCAUGGUGACUCAUGCCUGAAAUCCUAGCACUUUCGGAGGCCAAGAAAGGAGGCUCAUUUGAGGCCAGAAGUUCAAGACCAACCUGGGCAAUAUAGUGAGACCUCUAUCUCCACCAAAAAACACAAAAAUUAGCCAGACAUGGUGGCAUAUACUUGUGGUCCUAGAUGCUCAGGAGGAUGAGAUGGGAGGAUCACUUGAACCCAGGAGGCUAAGGAUGCAGCGAACUUUGAUCUUUUCACUGUACUCCAACCUGGGUGACAGAAAGAGACCCUCAUUAGGCCGGGCGCGGUGGGUCAAGCCUGUAAUCCCAGCACUUUGGGAGGCCGAGGCGGGUGGAUCACGAGGUCAAGAGAUCG